UACGUAGGGUGCGAGCGUUAAUCGGAAUUACUGGGCGUAAAGGGCGCGUAGGCGGCUCGACAAGUCCCGCGUGAAAGCCCCCGGCUCAACUGGGGAACUGCGCGGGAAACUGUCGGACUUGAGUUCGGGAGAGGGAAGCGGAAUUCCGGGUGUAGCGGUGAAAUGCGUAGAUAUCCGGAGGAACACCGGUGGCGAAGGCGGCUUCCUGGACCGACACUGACGCUGAGGCGCGAAAGCUAGGGGAGCAAACGGG
rnacentral:rRNA from 1 species